rnacentral:rRNA from 1 species
GACGAACGCUGGCGGCGUGCUUAACACAUGUAAGUCGAACGGUGAAGCGCCUUCCUUUUUGGGGGGUGUGGAGGAGUGGCGAACGGGUGAGUAACACGUGAGUAACCUGCCCCCUUCUUCAGGAUAACCGCAUGAAAGUGUGGCUAAUACGGGAUAUUCUGGGUCUGUCGCAUGAUGGGUCUGGGAAGGAUAUUGUUUCGGUGGGGGAUGGGCUCGCGGCCUAUCAGCGUGUUGGUGGGGUGAUGGCCUACGAAGGCGGUGACGGGUAGCCGGCCUGAGAGGGUGGACGGUCACACUGGGACUGAGACACGGCCCAGACUCCUACGGGAGGCAGCAGUGGGGAAUAUUGCACAAUGGGCGCAAGCCUGAUGCAGCGACGCCGCGUGAGGGAUGGAGGCCUUCGGGUUGUGAACCUCUUUCGCCAGUGAAGCAGGCCUGCCUCGUUUGUGGGUGGGUUGACGGUAGCUGGAGAAGAAGCGCCGGCUAACUACGUG